AUGGCAUUUGGCCGAGGCGCGAAGAUGGACGGCAGGCGGCCCUCGUCGCCGUCCUCGUCGAUGUGCACGACGACCACCGUCGUCGUGUUUGUGGCGCUCUGCAUGGUCGGCGCCUGGAUGAUGACGUCCUCCACCGUCUUCCCGGUAGAGCCUACUUCAAACAAGAAGUCGGAGCCGAUAGAGGUGUCAACAUCGAAUAAGAAGACCGAGGUCAAGGAUCAGCGCGCAGAAGUUGGCUUUGGUGAAACCGACGAGGCGGCGAAAUCCGGCAGUGUUAGCUCGGAAAAAUUCGAGGACACUGACAAUAAUGACAAUGUUCCAGAUGAGUCGCAUAGUAACAGGGAUGCUCCUGAGGAAGAGAAGUUCCCUGAGAACGCAAUGGAGAAGCCUGUCGAGAUGGCUGAAGAAAAGGAACCACCAAAGGAGAAGGAGGACAGUAAGGAUUCGUUCGAUGAUGCAAAUGGAAAAUCAGAAGGACAGAGUGCUAAGGAGGGUGGGGAGUCUGGUGAUGAGGAGGAGAAGAGCGGGGAGAGGAAAGAUAAGGAGACCACCACUGACAAUGAUGUUGAAAAAUCCGAUGCAGAGAAGAAGGAAGAUCAAGAAGGAAAGUCUGAGGAUGAUGCAACUGAGCAGCCUCAAAUCGAGGAGAAAGUGGAAGAAAGUGGAGAGAAGGAACCAGCUGCAAAAGCUAAUGAGGUAUUUCCUGAUGGAGCUCAGUCUGAACUUCUAAAGGAGUCGAAUACCGAGAAUGGGUCAUUCCCUACACAGGCUGCAGAGUCAAAGAAUGAGAAGGAAGCUCAAGCAGCAUCAAAAUCUUCAGGUGAUGAAAUAACCUAUAGCUGGAAAUUAUGUAAUAGCAGUGCCGUGACAGAUUACAUACCUUGCCUUGACAAUGAGAAGGCUAUCAAGAAACUUCAUUCUACCAAGCAUUAUGAACACCGUGAGAGGCAUUGCCCUGCGGAGCCUCCGACCUGCCUUGUUCCACUUCCGGAAGGAUAUAAGCGCCCCAUCGAGUGGCCCAAGAGCAGGGACAAGGUAUGGUACAGCAACGUCCCUCACACCAAGCUUGCAGAGUACAAGGGUCAUCAGAACUGGGUUAAAGUUUCUGGGGAUCAUCUUCUGUUUCCUGGGGGCGGGACUCAGUUCAAGAAUGGCGCACUCCACUACAUCGAUACUAUUCAGCAGGCUUUACCUGAUAUUGCAUGGGGUAAACGAAGCCGUGUGAUUCUAGAUGUUGGUUGUGGAGUUGCUAGCUUUGGUGGCUACAUGUUUGAUAGAGAUGUGCUUACCAUGUCAUUUGCUCCAAAAGACGAGCAUGAAGCUCAAGUACAGUUUGCGCUCGAGAGGGGAAUUCCAGCAAUAUCAGCUGUAAUGGGCACCAAGAGACUUCCAUAUCCUAGCAGGGUUUUUGAUGUCAUUCACUGUGCUCGCUGCAGGGUCCCUUGGCACAUUGAAGGUGGCAAGCUUUUGCUGGAAUUGAACCGACUAUUACGUCCUGGUGGUUACUUCGUCUGGUCUGCCACUCCUGUUUACCAAAAGCUCCCUGAAGAUGUUGAAAUUUGGAAUGCCAUAUCUUCUCUGACAAAGUCCAUGUGCUGGAAAAUGGUUAAGAAAACAAAGGAUACAUUAAAUCAAGUUGGUAUGGCCAUAUAUCAGAAGCCAAUGGACAACAAUUGCUACGAGAAAAGAUCAGAAGACAGCCCACCGCUAUGCAAGGAAACUGACGAUGCAGAUGCUGCAUGGAAUGUACCUUUGCAAGCGUGCAUACCCAAAUUGCCGAUUGGUCCAUCAGUAAGAGGAUCAAAAUGGCCAGAGAUGUGGCCUCAAAGGCUUGAGAAGACUCCCUUCUGGAUUGAUGGUUCUCGUGUUGGAGUUUAUGGAAAACCAGCAAAUGAAGACUUCGAGGCAGACUAUGCACACUGGAAACGUGUUGUAAGUAAGUCGUAUGUGAAUGGCAUGGGAAUUGACUGGUCUAAAGUGAGAAAUGUCAUGGACAUGAGAGCCGUAUACGGAGGUUUUGCUGCAGCACUGAGGGACCAAAAAGUCUGGGUUAUGAAUAUCGUGCCAAUCGAUUCGCCUGACACACUGCCCAUUGUUUAUGAGCGUGGCUUGUUUGGAAUGUAUCAUGACUGGUGCGAAUCUUUCAGCACUUACCCAAGAACAUAUGACCUCCUACAUGCAGACCAUCUCUUCUCAAAGCUCAAAAAGAGAUGUAAAUUGCUGGGAGUGUUUGCCGAGGUUGACCGGAUAUUGAGGCCAGAAGGCAAACUGAUCGUGAGGGACGACGCAGAGACAAUAAGCGAGCUCGAAAGCAUGGCGAAGUCCCUGCAGUGGGAGGUGCGCAUGACCUACGCCAGGGGCAAGGAAGGGCUGCUCUGCGUCCAAAAGACCACGUGGCGGCCCAAGGAGAUCGAAGCAAGCAUGUAG
rnacentral:rRNA from 1 species